GACGAACGCUGGCGGCGUGCUUAACACAUGCAAGUCGAACGGAAAGGCCCUGCUUUUGUGGGGUGCUCGAGUGGCGAACGGGUGAGUAACACGUGAGUAACCUGCCCUUGACUUUGGGAUAACUUCAGGAAACUGGGGCUAAUACCGGAUAGGAGCUCCUGCUGCAUGGUGGGGGUUGGAAAUUUUCGGCGGUUGGGGAUGGACUCGCGGCUUAUCAGCUUGUUGGUGGGGUAGUGGCUUACCAAGGCUUUGACGGGUAGCCGGCCUGAGAGGGUGACCGGCCACAUUGGGACUGAGAUACGGCCCAGACUCCUACGGGAGGCAGCAGUGGGGAAUAUUGCACAAUGGGCGGGAGUCUGAUGCAGCAGCGCCGCGGGCGGGAUGACGGCCUUCGGGGUAUAAACCGCUUUCGCCUGUGACGAAGCGUGAGUGACGGUAAUGGGUAAAGAAGCACCGGCUAACUACGUG
rnacentral:rRNA from 1 species